AAAAAUGUCUUAUCCAAUCUAAUCACUACUAUGAAUUAUACUAUUUCUGCGCUGCCUUAAACUAAAUUAAAUUGAAAAGAAUACACUUUCCACAAAUCUGUAGUCUAUAAAUUUUUUGAAUUUUUUUAAUAAAAAAUUAAAUUAACUUAAUUCAUUAAAUUGGAAAACAAUAAACAGAAAAGUUAAAAAUGGAAAAAAUUGUUCCAACUUUCUAUUUGUUCGUUUUUUCCCCCAAAUGCCAAAGAAAAGCCCUUGAGGAAAAUUCCCCAAAUCCACGGCGAGAAAGCUUCCAUCUUCGAUGCUUUGAGGAGAAGAUUUGUGUUGUGAAUGAUAAGCCGAAAAGCAAACCCGGAGGAAUGUGAAGAUAGCGGAAGCCGGUGGAGCUAAGGAGGUGAAGAUCUCUAAAGCUCAGACCGAUCUAGCCAUUGAUUUGGACGGGAAAUCUGAUGAUCCGCAGAUGUGCGGAGCUUAUGCUUCUGAUAUAUAUGAAUAUCUUCACAGAGUGGAGAUGGAGGCUAAGAGAAGGCCAUUGUCGUAUUACUUGGAGAAAAUUCAGAAAGAUGUAACUGCAAAAAUGAGAGAGGUUUUGAUAGAUUGGUUGGUUGAGGUGGCUGAGGAGUACAACUUUGAUGGCUAUUGGAACAACCACAAGGCAACCAUGGAAACUAUAGACAAGCAAGAUUGGUUGCACACAGGAGAUGUUUGCUAUGUUGAUGAUGUGGGAUGACUAUACAUGUUGGACCGUGUAAAAGAGCACAUCAAACAUAAAGGCUUUCAGGUCGCACCAGCGGAGCUAGAAGAGCUACUUCUCACUCAUCUUGAAAUAGUGGAUGAUGCUGUUAGGAUUAGGUGAUGGAGAAGUUGGAGAAAUUCCAAUAGCAUAUUUUGCAAGAUCAUCCAAUAGUUCACUGACAACACAACAGUUCCUUAUGCUCAUAGAAUCUUAAUGUUGUCCAUGACGAUGGUUCUGUAUCCUUCCCCGGUUUGUUUGUUCCUUUUGAUAUGGAUCACUCACAAGGCAAAAGAGUUUAUGUUUCUCUUAACUGUUAUGAGAAUAUGAAUAUUGUGACCCAACAUCUCUGUUUCUCUCCCUCUUAUAGAAGCCCCAUAAAUUUCUGAAUUCUUUGACCAAGCUUUUGUAAGGUUCUUCCAUGUGCCAUACAUGCUUCUUGUGCUGCUCUUGUAGAUGCUGGAAUCCCUUUGAAAUACCUUGCAGUCUUGUUAUGUUGCUGUCUCACUGAAAGUGAGAAUAUUACAUUGGACCCGAGCAAGCUAGAAGAACAGAUCCCAAUCACGAUGUUGGAGGAAAACGACUAGGAUUAAAUUGGUGUGAAGUUCAAGUUUCAGUUCCUAUAGAAUGGGAAGAAGAUUUGAUUAGGCCAUAUUCAAACUUGUCCACAAUUGGAGAUGCAAUUGGAGCAUGCAUUGCAUGGCCUCGACACUUGGUGACCGACGACGAUGAUGAUUGAAGAAGAUUGAUCGUGCUGGCUGCUGUUCUCUUUUUUUGCUGUCUUUUUUUUGGUCUUUGCCACGACAAAAUGAAUGAAAGAAACUUAGUUAUGGAUAUUUCCUCAAAAAUCUUGUGAGUUUUAUUAAGUUUUUAACAUGGUUAUAGCUUUGGUGACAUACAAGAGUGGUGGAGCAGAUAUAUUUCAUAAGAUCUUAAAGUUUGUUGUUUUGCAACGAGUUCGGUUGGAAAAUAUAAAUGAAUUUAGCAAUA